rnacentral:rRNA from 1 species
UACAGAGGUCCCAAGCGUUGUUCGGAUUCAUUGGGCGGAAAGGGUGCGUAGGUGGCGCCGUAAGUCAGGGGUGAAAUCUCGGGGCUUAACUCCGAAACUGCAUUUGAUACUGCGGUGCUUGAGGACUGGAGAGGAGACUGGAAUUUACGGUGUAGCAGUGAAAUGCGUAGAGAUCGUAAGGAAGACCAGUGGCGAAGGCGGGUCUCUGGACAGUUCCUGACACUGAGGCACGAAGGCCAGGGGAGCAAACGGG